UGGGGAAUAUUGGACAAUGGGCGAAAGCCUGAUCCAGCAAUGCCGCGUGUGUGAAGAAGGGUUUCGGCUCGUAAAGCUCUGUUGUUAAAGAAGAACACGUAUGAGAGUAACUGUUCAUACGUUGACGGUAUUUAACCAGAAAGUCACGGCUAACUACGUGCUAG
rnacentral:rRNA from 1 species